CGAGGCGCCGCGCCCAUUGGCGGAGACAGCUGCGCGUCGAGGCCCAAACGGCCCGGCCCAGCCCGCGGCGGCUCCGCGUUAGUCAGUCAUGGGGCGGCCGCCCAGAGCCGCCGCGGGGGCGGCGGGGCUCGGGGCUCGGGGGUCCGGCUGAGCCGGCCGCGGAUAGCGAGCCUGCCGCGAAGGCGACGGAGGCGGACGCGGGGCGACCCCGGCGGCAGCGGCGGCGGGGGAAGCGAGAGCCGCCUGGGAUGUUCAAGAACCCUUGGAGCAGCAAGACAUAAAGGGGAAGAGCUCAGACCCAGCAGCCAGGUGACCCAAGCGCCCCCCCUCAACCUGGGCACUGUGGACCCCACGGCACCUGUCUGACUUCUGUGAGCCUCAACUUUCUCAUCUGAGGAAUGUUCCCUCCCCUAUGAGUGGACACCAUGUUUUGAUUCUGAAGAAGAAAAUAUUUUUUACAUCACUGGAGUGAACCUAGAAAAUUCAUCCAGCUGUCAGUGUUCAUCUGGACUGCAGUAUUCUUCACUUCAGGCAGAGGAGUGUUUGAGGCCAAUAGCAGCAUCAGGGGUUCCUGAUAUUCUGUGUGUGUGUGUGUGUGUGU
rnacentral:lncRNA from 1 species